rnacentral:rRNA from 1 species
GUGUCAGCAGCCGCGGUAAUACGGGGGGGGCAAGCGUUAUUCGAAAUGAUUGGGCGUAAAGAGCACGUAGACGGUCUUUUUCGUUCUUUAUGGCAAAUUCUAAGGCUUAACUUUGGAAACAUGUAUUGAAUGCGAGACUCGAGUGAGUGAGAGGAUAGUGGAAUUUCUGGUGGAGAGGUUAAAUUUGUUGAUAUCAGGAGGAAGGCCGAAAGCGAAGGCAACUAUCUAGCGCUACACUGACGUUGAGGUGCGAAAGCGUGGGGAGCAAAUGGGAUUAGAAACCCCAGUAGUCC